rnacentral:rRNA from 1 species
UAGCGAAAGCGAGUUUUAACUGAGCGUUCAGUUACUUGACGUAGACCCGAAACCGGGCGACCUACCCAUGAGCAGGAUGAAGCGAAAGUAAAAUUUCGUGGAGGUCCGAACCCACGAGCGUUGAAAAGCUCGGGGAUGACUUGUGGGUAGCGGUGAAAUUCCAAUCGAGCCCGGAGAUAGCUGGUUCUCCCCGAAAUAGCUUUAGGGCUAGCCUCAAGGUGAGAGAUACGGAGGUAGAGCACUGAAUGUCCUAGGGGGUAUUGCACCUACCGAAGACUAUCAAACUCCGAAUGCCGUCAUCUUAUACUUGGGAGUCAGACUGUGGGUGAUAAGAUUCAUAGUCGAAAGGGCAACAGCCCAGAUCGUCAGCUAAGGUCCCUAAAUGUAAGUUAAGUGGUAAAGGAUGUGGGAUUGCACAGACAACCAGGAUGUUGGCUUAGAAGCAGCCACUCAUUCAAAGAGUGCGUAAUAGCUCACUGGUCGAGUGAUCCUGCGCCGAAGAUUUCCGGGGCUAAAACUUACUACCGAAGCUACGGCAUCAGUAAUGAUGGGUAGGGGAGCUUCCCAUACGGGUUGAAGCAUGACCGUAAGGACAUGUGGACAGUAUGGGAGUGAGAAUGUUGGCAUGAGUAGCGAGAUGUGGGUGAGAAUCCCACAGGCCGUAAACCCAAGGUUUCCAGGGGAAGGUUCGUCCGCCCUGGGUUAGUCGGGACCUAAGCUGAGGCCGAAAGGCGUAGGUGAUGGACAACAGGUUGAUAUUCCUGUACUACCGAUAACCGUUUGAGAGAAGGGAUGACACAGUAGGAUAAGCUAAGCACACUGUUGGUUAUGUGUGCCCAAGCAUUGAGGCAGUCAAAGUAGGCAAAUCCGCUUUGAUAAUGCUGGGAUGUGAUGGGGAGCGAAAUUUAGUAGCGAAGUAGCUGAUUUCACACUGUCAAGAAAAGUCUCUAUCGAGGUUAAAGGUACCCGUACCGCAAACCGACACAGGUGGGUGAGGAGAGUAUCCUAAGGCCAGCGAGAGAACUGUUGUUAAGGAACUCGGCAAAAUGACCCCGUAACUUAGGGAUAAGGGGUGCCACCAUCAGGUGGCCGCAGAGAAUAGGCCCAAGCGACUGUUUACCAAAAACAUAGGUUUCUGCUAAGUCGCAAGACGAUGUAUAGGAGCUGACGCCUGCCCGGUGCUGGAAGGUUAAGGGGAUCUGUUAGAGCAAUCGAAGCAGUGAACUUAAGCCCCAGUAAACGGCGGCCGUAACUAUAACGGUCCUAAGGUAGCGAAAUUCCUUGUCGGGUAAGUUCCGACCCGCACGAAAGGCGUAACGAUUUGGGCACUGUCUCAACAACAGACUCGGUGAAAUUGUAAUUCCGGUGAAGAUGCCGGAUACCUGCGACAGGACGGAAAGACCCCAUGGAGCUUUACUGUAGCUUGACAUUGGGUCUUGGUACUACAUGUACAGGAUAGGUGGGAGGCUUUGAAACCAGGACGCCAGUUUUGGCGGAGCCAUCCUUGGGAUACCACCCUUGUAGUACUGGGACUCUAACCAUAGGCCAUGAAUCUGGUCUUGGGACACUGUCAGGUGGGCAGUUUGACUGGGGCGGUCGCCUCCCAAAAGGUAACGGAGGCGCUCAAAGGUUCUCUCAGUACGGUCGGAAAUCGUACGUAGAGUGUAAAGGCAAAAGAGAGCUUGAUUGCAAGACAUACAGGUCGAGCAAGGAUGAA